rnacentral:pre_miRNA from 1 species
AAUGGGAUUGCUAGCCAUAUGGAUACUGUAUACUUUGUAAGAAACUGCUAAGCUGCUUUCCAAAGUGGCUGUUCCAUUUUGCAUUCCUACCAGCAGU